rnacentral:rRNA from 1 species
GUGGGUAGUUUGACUGGGGCGGUCUCCUCCUAAAGAGUAACGGAGGAGCACGAAGGUUGGCUAAUCCUGGUCGGACAUCAGGAGGUUAGUGCAAUGGCAUAAGCCAGCUUGACUGCGAGCGUGACGGCGCGAGCAGGUGCGAAAGCAGGUCAUAGUGAUCCGGUGGUUCUGAAUGGAAGGGCCAUCGCUCAACGGAUAAAAGGUACUCCGGGGAUAACAGGCUGAUACCGCCCAAGAGUUCAUAUCGACGGCGGUGUUUGGCACCUCGAUGUCGGCUCAUCACAUCCUGGGGCUGAAGUAGGUCCCAAGGGUAUGGCUGUUCGCCAUUUAAAGUGGUACGCGAGCUGGGUUUAGAACGUCGUGAGACAGUUCGGUCCCUAUCUGCCGUGGGCGCUGGAGAACUGAGGGGGGCUGCUCCUAGUACGAGAGGACCGGAGUGGACGCAUCACUGGUGUUCGGGUUGUCAUGCCAAUGGCACUGCCCGGUAGCUAAAUGCGGAAGAGAUAAGUGCUGAAAGCAUCUAAGCACGAAACUUGCCCCGAGAUGAGUUCUCCCUGAGACUUAAAGUCUCCUGAAGGAACGUUGAAGACGACGACGUUGAUAGGCCGGGUGUGUAAGCGCAGCGAUGCGUUGAGCUAAC